UAUUGGUCAAUGGGCGCAGGCCUGAACCAGCCAAGUAGCGUGAAGGAUGACUGCCCUAUGGGNUGUAAACUUCUUUUAUAUGGGANNCCNNNUNUCCACGUGUGGAAUUUUGUAUGUACCAUAGGAAUAANNNUNGNCUAACCCCGCUCCAGCCGCCGCGGUAAUACGGAGGAUCCGAGCGUUAUCCGGAUUUAUUGGGUUUAAAGGGAGCGUAGGUGGACAGUUAAGUCAGUUGUGAAAGUUUGCGGCUCAACCGUAAAAUUGCAGUUGAUACUGGCUGUCUUGAGUACAGUAGGGGUGGGCGGAAUUCGUGGUGUAGCGGUGAAAUGCUUAGAUAUCGCGAAGAACUCCGAUUGCGAAGGCAGCUCACUGGACUGCAACUGACACUGAUGCUCGAAAGUGUGGGUAUCAAACAG
rnacentral:rRNA from 1 species